rnacentral:rRNA from 1 species
CGGGUGAGUAACACGUAUCCAACCUGCCGUCUACUCUUGGACAGCCUUCUGAAAGGAAGAUUAAUACAAGAUGGCAUCAUGAGUCCGCAUGUUCACAUGAUUAAAGGUAUUCCGGUAGACGAUGGGGAUGCGUUCCAUUAGAUAGUAGGCGCGGUAACGGCCCACCUAGUCUUCGAUGGAUAGGGGUUCUGAGAGGAAGGUCCCCCACAUUGGAACUGAGACACGGUCCAA